rnacentral:snRNA from 1 species
AGAUUACCACAUCAAAUUG